UUUACAGCUCCCCAUUGCCCACCUUUCUUUGAAGGACUUAAACCAUAAUAAGUUGUUUAGCCAUGAGACAUUCCAUAUGUUGUUCCUGAAGUUUGGCCCACUUUCUAAAAAUUGCUUACACCUCCCCAUUUGCCUUAUAUAGGUGGUUUUUUUCUUUUUUCUUUUUUAAAAAAAAUUAAUUUAAUAAUAAAUGAAUUAUGAAUUAAAUAAGAGGUAUAGAAAUCAUAUAAAUGAAGUUUAUUUAGCAAACUAAGAGCAAAGCUAGAGGAAUUUCCAUGAUGAAUAGUUGAAGAAAUACUUAAAGGGAUAGAAGGAACCAUAUAAUGGUAGAAUGAUUGGGCAAUGCAUGAUGCAAGAUUGCAAAGAAUUAAGAAUGACAAGACAGAAACCUAGGCAGCAGCAGCAGGCAGAGACAAAAGUUUCAUGGGACCAUACUCGUUUGCUCCCCUUGUUACAAGGAGCUCUGUUCCCUCACCAUCUUCUUCUCAUGGUCUUGAACCUCUGUGCUAAACCAAACAUGCCAAGAGUUCCUCCUGUGUGAAGCAUUACCACUUCUGCACGCCCAUAUGCUUCCUCCUUGCUCAGCUGAGUUGCCAUUUCCCAAGCAGCUAAAGUAUAAAUAGGAUCCACCAGAAUGCCAGUUUGUUGUGCUAUUUGUUGGCAUGCCUCUAUCUCUCCUUCCAAAACAUUGCCAAAUUUUCUCCUACGGCUGCGCUCCUCCCAAUGAACAACUCCACCUUUGACUUCAUUUAUGCAAUGGUCAAUAAGAUGAAAACCAAAUUGUGUCCUGAAAUCAGAAAUUAACGCUUUCUCCUUUUGUUUGUAUGCAUCAAUCGUAUCAGCCAGUAUGACAGCAUUCACCUGCCAUGGAAGCCCUAAACAUAAGGUUCCAAGUCCCAAACCAAUAGCCGUUGUACCUGUCCCAGCAUCUACCACCAAUUUCAUGGGUCUCUCUUUUCCGAGUAAAUGAUUCUGGCAUAAGUACUCCACCAGGCGAAUGACACCUAGCAAUGCUACAGUAUCCCCAGCUCCUUCAUUCACAAUCAAAACCUUCUUUGUAUGAUUCUCAACAUUUGUACAAGCAUCCAUUUGCCCUAAAUUCAAAGCAAUAGAUGUUUGCUUUGUGAAAAAAGUCUCAAGGAUAUCACUACACUGUACAACGUUACCAGUAAAUCCUGCGACCAAAUUAGCAUGGCUCUUCAGCAUGCUCUCCCUGUGGGCAUAAAGAUAUCUGGGAACAUAUGUUACAUUUCCAUAUACUGUUGAAAUCAGGUUAUAGCCAGUCAGAACUUCAGGUGGCUCCCCUCUCAGAAGCAAAUGUGUCUUUAUCCCUGUCUCUGCACAUGAAACAGCUGCAAAAACACACUCACUAGUCCAGUCAUGGUCUCUCACUUCUGAUUAGGAAACACAAUUGGAACUUCUAUACCACAAAAAAAUCAGACAACUGCCCUAUUGUAAUGGCAGAAAAAAUGACCUACCAACAGCUGCUGCAUGUGCGCUUUGACAGCCUCCGCAUGUAACCUAGAAAAUGUCUCAGUUGAAUGUUAUUUGGUCUUCAAAGCCCCUAAAAUUGAAAAGUUAAUUACUUAUGACCAGUGGCGGGUUCAUAGCUAUGAACGAGGGGUCAAUUGACCCCUCAUUUUCUUGAAAUUACUUCUAUGUAUGUUUAUGUUUCUAUGAAUUGAACCCUCUUAAAUUUAAGUGUUGAACCCACUUUUUGGAUGAAAAUAUAUAUUUUUAUAAUGAGAAAUUAAUUGACUCCUAUUUUUAUUAAAAAAUUUAAUAUUUAUAUUUAUUUAAAUUGACUUUUAAUAUAGAGCGAGUUGGUAAGAAAAAAUUUUUAGGGUAUUAGACUUAAUCGAGUACAAUUGGAAGAAUAUUUUUAUAAUAUUUUAUAUAUAUAUUUUUUAUAAGUUGUUCUGGAAAAUUUUUUUUGUGGAUCCACCACUACUUAUGACAAACAUUGCAUGUCAUAAUUGUCUAAAAACAGAAACAAGUUGAAAAACCAUGAGCUGAGAUCAGUCAUGAGCCUAGAUCAGCAAGAAGAUUUCUUAUGCCAACUAACUUGAGUUAGGCAUGAAACCAACUUCUCCAUCAGAAUUAUACUGAUAUAUAUUCCACAAGGACCAUGAUUAAUCUGGAUCUCCAAAUCAAUGUAGAGUACAUGUUCUCUUAUCAAGCAAUUAUCUAUGCUAAUCGACCUAUCAGAAGAAAUCACAAAAGGGGAGCAAAUUGAAUUUCCAAAAGUCGACAAGGCGAAGAAAUAACAUGUGGUAUCCAAAUGGAAAAUCUGUAUUCUAGUAGAUAAAAACAUGUCUCAAACAUGAAUUGCCAUCUUAUAUCCAAAAGAAAUGCAAUCUC
rnacentral:misc_RNA from 1 species